AGUGAACGCUGGCGGUAGGCCUAACACAUGCAAGUCGAACGGCAGCACAGUAAGAGCUUGCUCUUACGGGUGGCGAGUGGCGGACGGGUGAGGAAUACAUCGGAAUCUACUUUUUCGUGGGGAAUAACGUAGGGAAACUUACGCUAAUACCGCAUACGACCUACGGGUGAAAGCAGGGGAUCUUCGGACCUUGCGCGAAUGAAUGAGCCGAUGUCGGAUUAGCUAGUUGGCGGGGUAAAGGCCCACCAAGGCGACGAUCCGUAGCUGGUCUGAGAGGAUGGUCAGCCACACUGGAACUGAGACACGGUCCAGACUCCUACGGGAGGCAGCAGUGGGGAAUAUUGGACAAUGGGCGCAAGCCUGAUCCAGCCAUACCGCGUGGGUGAAGAAGGCCUUCGGGUUGUAAAGCCCUUUUGUUGGGAAAGAAAAGCAGCAGGUUAAUACCCCGCUGUUCUGACGGUACCCAAAGAAUAAGCACCGGCUAACUUCGUG
rnacentral:rRNA from 1 species